GCUCAAAUUUGAAAUCUUCAAGGGUUUCCCUUUACGAAUUGUAGUUUAAAGAAGUGUUUUCUGUUGAGGUUUUGGUAAAAGUUCUUUGGAAUAGGACAUCAUAGAGGGUGAGAAUCCCGUACUUGACCUUUACUUUCAACUUUGUGAUACACUUUCAAAGAGUCGGAUUGUUUGGGAAUGCAGUCCAAAAUGGGUGGUAAAUUUCAUCUAAAGCUAAAUAUUGGCGAGAGACCGAUAGCGAACAAGUACCGUGAGGGAAAGAUGAAAAGAACUUUGAAAAGAGAGUUAAACAGUACGUGAAAUUGUCAAAAGGGAAGCGUUUGACACCAGUGUUGUUUUUCUGAAAAUCAAUUAAAGAACUGUUUAUGCUAAGCUGUUUAGACUUUAUCAGCUAUCUGUUUAGUUUUGAGCUUUUCUUUAAUGCACUUUUCAGUUAACAAG
rnacentral:rRNA from 1 species